rnacentral:rRNA from 1 species
CGCCUUAUACUCCUACGGGAGGCAGCAGUGGGGAAUAUUGCACAAUGGGGGAAACCCUGAUGCAGCCAUGCCGCGUGUGUGAAGAAGGCCUUCGGGUUGUAAAGCUCUUUUGUCAGGGAAGAAACGGUAGUAGCUAAUAUCUAUUACUAAUGACGGUACCUGAAGAAUAAGCACCGGCUAACUACGUGCCAGCAGCCGCGGUAAUACGUAGGGUGCAAGCGUUAAUCGGAAUUACUGGGCGUAAAGAGUGCGCAGGCGGUUGUGUAAGUCAGAUGUGAAAUCCCCGGGGUCAACCUGGGAAUUGCAUUUGAGACUGCACGGCUAGAGUGUGUCAGAGGGGGGUAGAAUUCCACGUGUAGCAGUGAAAUGCGUAGAUAUGUGGAGGAACACCGAUGGCGAAGGCAGCCCCCUGGGAUAACACUGACGCUCAUGCACGAAAGCGUGGGGAGCAAACAGGAUUAGAUACCCGUGUAGUCCACGUACCA